GCGGGGGUAGCAAAGCCUGGCCAAAUGCGCAGGACUUAAGAUCCUGUCACUUAGUGUGUUCGAGGGUUCGAAUACUUAGCAACGAAGUCGAUAAAGAUUCGGAAAAGAUUCCGUUGUAGGACGAAUUUCCCUUCCCCCGCA
rnacentral:tRNA from 1 species